AUUGAACGCUGGCGGAAUGCUUUACACAUGCAAGUCGAACGGCAGCACGGACUUCGGUCUGGUGGCGAGUGGCGAACGGGUGAGUAAUACAUCGGAACGUGCCCAGUCGUGGGGGAUAACGUAGCGAAAGCUACGCUAAUACCGCAUACGAUCUAAGGAUGAAAGCGGGGGAUCGCAAGACCUCGCGCGAUUGGAGCGGCCGAUGGCAGAUUAGGUAGUUGGUAGGGUAAAGGCCUACCAAGCCGACGAUCUGUAGCUGGUCUGAGAGGGUGAUCAGCCAAGCUGGGAGUGAGACACGGCGCAGACUCCUACGGGAGGCAGCAGUGGGGAAUUUUGGACAAUGGGCGCAAGCCUGAUUCAGCCAUUCCGCGUGCAGGAUGAAGGCCUUCGGGUUGUAAACUGCUUUUGUACAGAACGAAAAGGCUCUGGUUAAUACCCGGGGCUCAUGACGGUACUGUAAGAAUAAGCACCGGCUAACUACGUGCCAGCAGCCGCCGUAA
rnacentral:rRNA from 1 species